CNGUGAAACWGCAGAUGGCUCAUUAAAUCAGUUAUAAUUUCUUUGAUGGUCGUAGUUUCUUUUUCUUUUUUCAUAUUUCGGUGUGGAAAGAGAGGAAUGAAAUACUAAAUGGAUAGCCGUACUAAUUGUGGAGCUAAUACAUGCACUGAUAAGACCUUUUUGGUUUUAUUAUUGAAAGAGUCUCGAUCUUAUUCUUUCGUGGGAUGAGAGAGAGAUGUGUUUAUUAGACGCGAAACUAUGUCUCUUCGGAGGCUACGGUGAAUCACAAUAACCUGAUCGAAUCGCAUGUUCUCUUUUUUAAAGAGGAUGGCGAUAGUUCAUUCAAAUUUCUGCUUUAUCAACUUUUGUCGGGUGUAUAGAGGACAUCUGAGGUGAUAACGAAUGGCGGGGAAUAAGGGUUCGGUUCCGGAGAGGGCGCCUGAGAAAUGGCGACCACAUCCAAGGAAGGCAGCAGGCGCGCAAAUUACCCAAUCCUAACACAGGGAGGUAGUGACAAGAAAUAUCAAUACCGGGUUCUUUUAGAGCUUGGUAAUUGAAAUGAGUACAAUUUAAACCCCUUAACGAGGAUCAACUGGAGGGCAAGUCUGGUGCCAGCAGCCGCGGUAAUUCCAGCUCCAGUAGCGUAUAUUAAAGUUGUUGCAGUUAAAAAGCUCGUAGUUGGAUUUGUGGUGUGUUCCUUUUGUGUGACUUCUUGGUUUCUCUCCUAACUUAGUUGGGGGUUGAACUGGUGUCACCAACACAUCAUCCUUGAUGGGAUUUAGAGUCAUUUCGACUUUUUUAUUCUCAUCAUCCUUUACUUUGAAAAAAUUGGAGUGAUUCAAGCAGGCGAAUUCAUUUGUUUUUAUUAACAAAUCAUCAAUUUGCUUCUGCACAUGUUAGCAUGGAAUAAUGCAAGAGGACUUGGGUUUUCUCUUUCAUUGGUUUCAGGAAUCCGAGUAAUGAUUGAUAGGGACAGUUGGGGGUGCUCAUAUUCGACGGCCAGAGGUGAAAUUCUUGGAUUCGUUGAGGAUGAACAACUGCGAAAGCAUUCACCAAGGAUGUCUUCUUUAAUCAAGAACGAAAGUUGGGGGAUCGAAGAUGAUCAGAUACCGUCGUAGUCCCAACCAUAAACGAUGCCGACCAGGGAUCAGCGAGCGUUGAC
rnacentral:rRNA from 1 species